AUAAGAUGCAUACAUAUCCUAAAUGCCUAACUAUUUUUAUAUCCCCUUAUAUAUAUAUCCAUGUAUCUUUUGCAUAGUUAUGAAAAUAUGUGUGAUAUUUCUAUUUCUACUUAUAUAGAAGCAUGGGUUUCGUCGACAUGCCAGCUUGGUCCACUAUUAGCUCAAGGGCAUAUUAGACUUUAAACAACAUUUAUACCACGUGUCAUUUAGUAACCCUUGAAUUGAACAGCCGUCUCCGUAUUUUUCAUUCAUUCUUUCUACUCAUUCUUCAUCCAUCCAGAAUAUUCUUCAAUUAUCUUCUCAGUUGCUCAAUUGGCAUUACAUCUCUGCAAUUUACUUUUCCCUGGUCUUCGUUUCUAUUGUUUAUUAAUAGAUUUUUUUAUUCUCUUUUAUUUGUCUUUUGUUUUUUCCUCUAUUACUAGCAAGAGAUAAUUUGGGCCUUUCCCUUUUUUACGCAGAAGAGGUUUUUGUUCCUGUAAUGUAGACUGCACUUUAUGUUUCUUAAAUUUUCCUUUUGCUAAGACUAGGUUUAUUUGGAGUCAUAGUGGUGUGUAAUGCUACAAUUGAUGCUUUUUGAAAAAAGAUUAAAUUUGAUUUACCGAAAGAAUGAGAUGUUGUAGUUAACACAGGACUUUAAGCUCUGAUUUUUUGAGAUCGUUUCUAUUAUUAUCGACCUACUUUUUCAGGUAGGUAGUCACUCUAUUUACUGACACGCUAUGAUGAUACUUUUGUUUAAUGUAAUAUGUGAUUAAAUUAUUAUUUUUGUGGUUUACUGUUGGACUAUAUACCUUGAAGGUUCUUUAUAUUAGAAUUAUUAGUUUAAAGGUGAGAUACAUAAAAGUGUGCAUGUUUGUGCAUGAACUUCAAAUGAUGCAUGUGCUUAUGUUCUAUUAGACGGACGACAAAUUAUUUAUAUAUUUUAAUCUAGCUGCUAGGAUAUAAUGAAUAAGUUACUCUUUUGGUUUAAAGGGAAAAAAAAGGGAUGUUUGGUAGGGGUAGCUUGCAACAGAGAGAAUAUAGGGGUGUUUGGUAGGGGUGGCUUGCAACGAAGAGAAUAAUGCAAUGACAAUUUUCAGUUAAGAGGGGGUUCAUUUGAAGCUAAAGCUAUUUGACCAGUGGGAUCACAGAGUAAUCAUCAUAAGUUGUCGCUACCCUUCAUUUUUCUUACAAAGUUGUGUAUGAUUCUGCAAACUAUAUCGCAAAAUAACUAGAUUGGUUUAAGUGUUACCUUUUCACAAAAAACAAAAAAAACACUAGAUUGGUUGUACACUUCUUUGGCUAUUGUGACACGUUGAUUUUCUGUGUUUGCAUUGGUGGAUCUCUAAGGAAAAAUUAUAUUAGCUCAAUUAUCCACCUCAAUUGCUGAGUUCUUUCUGCGUUUUUAUCUUAGAGAACUUCAAGAUUAUUGAGAAAAAUCAGAAAAUAGCUAUAUCUGUACAGAAAAAAUUGGAAAUUUAUUAAUGGAAUGAAAAUGUCUUCUCAGUCUUUUGGUUCAAUAGCUCUGUUAUGCUACUUUGUUCGUCAUGGAAUGGUACAAGUUUUAACUUCUUUUGGGUUCUUAUGCACCUUCACAUAGUAAUAUACUUUUGUCAAAUAUUUCAGCAAUUAGAAAGCUAUCUAUUUUGAACUAUGAGGAAAAAUAAAAUGCCCACCAACCAUUCCAACAGCAACAAUGAUGGACAUCACUGAAGAAGCAAGCGCAAGGUUGUGGACGUCGGCUUAGAAGGAAGAAAUCAACAAAACCUACCCAGCAAAGACAGACCUUCCAGCAGUUAACAGAAAACUGAAAUCAGGGCCCCCUAUUGUGUCUCAAACACAGUCACACAGCUACAAACAGCAACUGCGAAGAACAUGACUGCCAACAAAAUAGGAGCCGACUAUUGUGCCUUCCACCAAUACCAGCUUAUGUGAAUGUGUAAAUAAUGUGCAUAUAUGCAUAGACAGUACAAUCAUGAAUGUAUAUCUAUCAACAGUCUAAACAAUAUGUUUCAGCAGAAACAGUUCAAACAAAAUGCUUAGAGUAUCCAGUCUGCAUAACAAGACAUCUUCACACAAAUACAUAUAGGUAAAUAUUGGGCCCGUGUGCGCACGGGCAACCACUAUCUAGUUGUUUAAAAAAAUUGUAGAACAAAAGUUGGGUGUAACAACACUCACCCAGAUGGUUCGACAUGUACAGCUGCGUUUUGCAAAGCCGCACUAAUCAUCCCAAAUGCAGUGCUUGGUCGAAGCUUUGGGCGCUUGAUAGGACAAUUUUUUGUGUGUAAAUUAUUGUAGUUUUUUUUUUUGUGUGUAAAUUAUUGUAGAUAAUGUGUACCUAUGUUUGUAAACGUACUAAUCAUCACAA